rnacentral:rRNA from 1 species
AGAGUUUGAUCCUGGCUCAGGAUGAACGCUAGCUACAGGCUUAACACAUGCAAGUCGAGGGAAACGACAUCGAAAGCUUGCUUUUGAUGGGCGUCGACCGGCGUACGGGUGAGUAACGCGUAUCCAACCUACCCACCACUUGGGGAUAACCUUGCGAAAGUAAGACUAAUACCCAAUGAUGUCUCUAGAAGACAUCUGAAAGAGAUUAAAGAUUUAUCGGUGAUGGAUGGGGAUGCGUCUGAUUAGCUUGUUGGCGGGGUAACGGCCCACCAAGGCGACGAUCAGUAGGGGUUCUGAGAGGAAGGUCCCCCACAUUGGAACUGAGACACGGUCCAAACUCCUACGGGAGGCAGCA